UGGGUGGGAUGAAUGAGAAAGAAGUACUAGUUCAAAUGAAUUACCCUGGGGAGGAGAGGUCGUGGAGGAAUAAAGGGGAAUGUUGCAAGGAGAUUUUGAGCCCCAGAGAGGAGCAAACCCUAAGGAAAGAUCUGCUCAGAGAUGUAGAGAACUGGAAAGAACUUGGCUCUCACCAUCACAACAACAACCAAAACCGCUGGACAAACUACAAGUUAACAGAUUUUCUUGCACCUGUCAGAGAACGCAGGCCACAGGGCUAUCCUGGAAUCUGGGAGAAGCAGGCACCUGCAAAAGAGGCACAGGAUUCAAGCAUUUGCUCAUUUACUGACCUGGGGCAGAUGCCAGGUGAGAUCUGCCAGCAACACUGAGAGGUAUAUGGGUUGAGCCCUGCAUUCCAGACAGGAAACAGAACCGGAGAGGUCAAGGUUUACUCAGCCUUGUGUAUCUGUCAGGCACCAAAACUGCACUUUCCCUUUAACGAUGAAGGUACAGAUCGCCUUUCAUUUUAGGACAUCUAGAUUGGUUACUCAAAGGCCUUUUCUGCAUCCGCGGCUUCAUUCCAGAAAACGGAGGUCGGAAGAACCAUUCAAUUGAAGUGGGAACGAGUUUGGUCCAUGGUUUACUACCUUCAGCACCUUCUGCUAUUCUUUCUGAUGAUGUCUUCACGGAAGGCCCAUUGCCAGCCUUGAGACUGCUGAUUUCAAGGCACUUCUAAGACAAAAAUAAA